rnacentral:misc_RNA from 1 species
UCUCUCUCUCUCUCUCUCUACGUAGCCAGACGAAACAGGUCAGUCCCUUCUUUUCUUUUUAGUUUCCAUUUCCUUCUUUUUCUUCAUCUAUCGCAGCGGCCUAACUCCUGCAGUUAACAGGUUAGUGCUGCCCCACCCCUUUUUUCCAUUUUUCUUCUUUCCUGCAGCUUUUGAUUCAAUCUCUUCAUUUCCUUGCACCCUUCUCUUCUUUAUUCUUAUUGCUGUAGCCCUGAUUCAUUAGCUGAGUUCCUGCAUGUUGUGCUAUUUUGUGGUCUGGUUCUGAUUUUGUACUUUUAAAUACCUAGACCUGCAUUUAAUCUGUGUUUUUAGUGGUAAUCUUAUUUUUUUGGCUUUUUUUAAUUUUUAUUUAUUGCUUGAUUUGAACCCUUUCAUUGAGUGCUGUAAUUGAAUAUAUCAGUACCUUGAAUUCGAUGAAUGCCUAUAUUUAUUUUCUUGUUUAUCAAUUGACAUACUUUGAAUUAACUGUGAAGUACAACACUUUGGAUUAAAUGUGAAGUACAACCGAUAGCUGCCCGCUUAUAACUAUUAGUAUAGCUGAUAAUUG